CACCAGCGACCCAAAGCGAGCUCUGGCCUCAUGGAACACAAGCAACCCCCUGUGCAGGUGGGCGGGGGUCACGUGCGGCCGGGCGCACCAGGGGCGUGUGAUCACAUCGCUGGAACUCGCAGGCCAGGGCCUCGAAGAGAUAUCGAGCUCCUGAGGUGAACGAAGGGAAGCCCACCAUGCCUGUAACACUGCCGCUGCUGCUGCUGCUGUGCAUCGGACGUGUAUGCAGUAUUGCACGCAGGUUGCAGACUUGCAGUAAACUGGUUGGUCAGGCGCUCUGCUGCUGCGAUGGGACGAUAUCGUUUAAGAGCGGGCGGGCAUUGCAUCCGCACAUUAGCCAUUCAUUUGCGAUCGCUCGUGCUGAGCGCAACUCGAGGGGCGACGACCUUGACUCAUGGGUUGGUGUUCGGUCGUAUCGGUUCGGUCUUUAAAUCAUUUGAAGAGUUCGGUUACCUGGAAAUGAAACAAAAAAUUGGCACAAAACUGUCAGGACUGAACAAUUCAGUUUCGGUCAGUUCGUGCACAGGUCAGUUUUGACCGAACUAACCGAUCAUAAUUUAUAUGAAAAAAGAUAAAAUCAAGCCCCAUCAGUCUCGAUCGUCAAAAUGUACUAGAAAUAGCUUUUCGUAAAAAAUAUACCAGAAAUAUAGCAGGGUAAUUAGGAUAGCCAAGCUUUUUUUUAUCUUGUACUUAUUGUUUCUUUCCUCCUAAAGUUCAGUCGCUUAUAUUUAUUUGACAUCUUAUAUCCCUUAGAAGGUAAUCGAAGUAAAGUAACAGGUCCACACAUACUUAAAAUACAACCCGGUUUCUCAAAAGCAAAAAGCAAAAGCUUACCGAGUCUACGAGUCUUUCGAAAAAAACAGUCUAAUACGAGUCAAGGUCACCGCAGCAUGCAACAGCAGCGUGAUUGAGCGAUCGGAAAGUGUGUGGAUGCAACGAGCACAAAGGAAUAGAUUUAUACGGGCACGCAUACUUCGUCUUCUCGCUUGGCAGAAAGAUAGGGGAGAUACAGUUCCGAGUGUUGCCGGAGUUCAAAUAAACCAAAGCGGGCGCGGAUCGCUUGGACCAGGAAUGGUUGUUCUUUUCGUUCAAUUUACCCCUGGCACAGCGCUCUUCGAUUUUCUUCUUCCUUUCUUUUGGUUUCUUGAUAUAUUCGUAUUGACCCGUCUGUGCUCGCCGUGUUUUGGUUUCACAGGUCUUAGCUAGAUACCUCCUAACACGAGGCUCCGCUCGGCGUGUCAAGUGGGAGAUGCUCGUGCUGCUUGGACUAUUGCUUCUUUGCCGUGGAACCGGCAGCACCCAUGGCUCACCGGACGACCACGCCGGCGACGGCGACAUGAUGUCGCUGCUGGAUUUCAAGAGGGCCAUCACCAGCGACCCAAAGCGAGCUCUGGCCUCAUGGAACACAAGCAACCUCCUGUGCAGCUGGGCGGGGUCACGUGCGGCCGGCCGCACCGGGGGCGUGUGAUCACAUCGCUGGGACUCGCAGGCCAGGGCCUCGAAGGUCUUAGCUAGAUACCUCACAACACGAGGCUCUGCUUGGCGUGUCAAGUGGGAGAUGCUCGUGCUGCUUGCACUAUUGCUUCUUUGCCGUGGAAUCGGCAGCACCCAUGGCUCACCGGACGACCACGCCGGCGACGGCGACAUGAUGUCGCUGCUGGAUUUCAAGAGGGCCAUCACCAGCGACCCAAAGCGAGCUCUAGCCUCAUGGAACACAAGCAACCCCUUGUGGAGGUGAGCUGGGGUCGCGUGCGGCCGGGCGCACCGGGGGCGUGUGAUCUCGUUGGGACUCUUAGAUCAAGGCCUCGAAGGUGAAAUCACCUCCUCUCUUGAAAAUCUCACGUUUCUGAGGACGCUGAACCUGUCCGAGAACAGCUUCUCCGGUCGAUUGCCUCCUCUGGGUCGUCUCGGCAAGCUGAAGGUCUUUGAUCUGAGCCGGAACUCGUUGCGCGAUGCUAUCCCAGAUGGAUUGGCCAAUCGCUCCAGCCUUCGUAUACUUGACCUGUCUUACAACUCUCUAGUCGGUGAACUUCAUCCUAAACUUGGCUUAAUUUCUAGUCUCUCAGCUUUAUUUCUACGUCAGAAUAGACUCACAGAAACCAUCCCACCGUCCCUCGGCAAUACGACUCACCUAGAAAUACACGAUCUAGGAAAUAAUAGGCUGUCAGGAAGUAUCCCUGCUGAGCUUGGAAAAUUAUCGAAUUUGUCGAUCUUGUUUCUAGAUAAAAAUAGUUUAUCAGGCGGCAUACCGCAGUCCUUGCUUAAUCUAUCCUCUCUACGGCAUCUAGUUUUGGGUCGGAAUAAGCUAGGGGGAGUGGUACCACCAAACAUUGGUGAUGCUCUCCCUAAUCUCCGAUGAUUUUCUUUAUACGACAACAUGUUUGGUAGUCACAUCCCAGCUUCCAUUGGCAACUGCUCAAAGAUAGAGUCUAUCUAUUUAGGAUCUAACAAUUUCUCUGGUCCAGUUCCUCGUUCUUUCGGCAAGCUUACCUGUUCUUUGACAAGUUUCUUCUAGAGAUUGCACCAUGCUUGCCUGCUUGGUGAACUUGAAGCAAACCUUCCAAAAGAAAAUACAAUAUUUACUUGUCAGCGGAGUUGUCUAAUGUAAAUAUUUCAGAAUCCCUGGUACACUUUCCAGUGAUAUGUUAAAACAACUGACGAAAAAAUUCUUUUGUUUUUGUUAUUUGCAUCAACCUGUUCUCCCAGAAACACUCAAGUGCUAUAUGAUACUGUAUUACGCAAAUCAGAACACCUGCAGCACUGCAAAGAAAUCUGUUUUGCCUUUGAAGGUCGAAACUGUAUACACAUAUAUAAUUUUCGAGUUCCAAUCCAUUUUUUCAAAGAAAAUAAGAUGAUGUAUAGCAUGCUUCUGAUAACCAUGAUGCUGUACAAAAAAAUUGCAACUAGCGCAUGUAUCAUGGCAACUUUAAUCAAAAGAAAAAUAGAGAAAUCUCCCAUGCUACAGUGGACGGGAUCUUUGCUCCUCUGAGGCAAAACGGGUAAUCCUACCUACAGGCUGGGAGGAUGGCUCCCCAGAACAAUAGAGAAAUCUCACCAUUGUUGUCAGAUAGCAAGGUCGUCUGAUGGUUUUCAGUCUUUCACAAGAAGCACGAACACCAAUCAUCUUUGUUUAUUAAGCA